ACCCGAUCUCGUCUGAUCUCGGAAGUCAAGCAAUCUCGGGCUUGGUUAGUACUUGGAUGGGUGACCGCUUGGGAAUACCAAGUGUGAUAAGCA
rfam:Ciona savignyi cont_36973, whole genome shotgun sequence.